rnacentral:rRNA from 1 species
GGUUUACCUGUGUGACUGCGUACCUUUUGUAUAAUGGGUCAGCGACUUAUAUUCUGUAGCAAGGUUAACCGAAUAGGGGAGCCGGAGGGAAACCGAGUCUUAAUUGGGCGUUAAGUUGCAGGGUAUAGACCCGAAACCCGGUGAUCUAGCCAUGGGCAGGUUGAAGGUUGGGUAACACUAACUGGAGGACCGAACCGACUAAUGUUGAAAAAUUAGCGGAUGACCUGUGGCUGGGGGUGAAAGGCCAAUCAAACCGGGAGAUAGCUGGUUCUCCCCGAAAGCUAUUUAGGUAGCGCCUCGUGAAUUCAUCUCCGGGGGUAGAGCACUGUUUCGGCUAGGGGGCCAUCCCGGCUUACCAACCCGAUGCAAACUGCGAAUACCGGAGAAUGUUAUCACGGGAGACACACGGCGGGUGCUAACGUCCGUCGUGAAGAGGGAAACAACCCAGACCGCCAGCUAAGGUCCCAAAGUCAUGGUUAAGUGGGAAACGAUGUGGGAAGGCCCAGACAGCCAGGAUGUUGGCUUAGAAGCAGCCAUCAUUUAAAGAAAGCGUAAUAGCUCACUGGUCGAGUCGGCCUGCGCGGAAGAUGUAACGGGGCUAAACCAUGCACCGAAGCUGCGGCAGCGACACUGUGUGUUGUUGGGUAGGGGAGCGUUCUGUAAGCCUGUGAAGGUGGCCUGUGAGGGUUGCUGGAGGUAUCAGAAGUGCGAAUGCUGACAUAAGUAACGAUAAAGCGGGUGAAAAGCCCGCUCGCCGGAAGACCAAGGGUUCCUGUCCAACGUUAAUCGGGGCAGGGUGAGUCGACCCCUAAGGCGAGGCCGAAAGGCGUAGUCGAUGGGAAACGGGUUAAUAUUCCCGUACUUGGUGUUACUGCGAAGGGGGGACGGAGAAGGCUAUGUUGGCCGGGCGACGGUUGUCCCGGUUUAAGCGUGUAGGUGUGUGUUCCAGGUAAAUCCGGUUCACUUUAACACUGAGGCGUGACGACGAGGCACUACGGUGCUGAAGCAACAAAUGCCCUGCUUCCAGGAAAAGCCUCUAAGCAUCAGGUAACAUCAAAUCGUACCCCAAACCGACACAGGUGGUCAGGUAGAGAAUACCAAGGCGCUUGAGAGAACUCGGGUGAAGGAACUAGGCAAAAUGGUGCCGUAACUUCGGGAGAAGGCACGCUGACACGUAGGUGAAGUGAUUUACUCAUGGAGCUGAAGUCAGUCGAAGAUACCAGCUGGCUGCAACUGUUUAUUAAAAACACAGCACUGUGCAAACACGAAAGUGGACGUAUACGGUGUGACGCCUGCCCGGUGCCGGAAGGUUAAUUGAUGGGGUCAGCGCAAGCGAAGCUCCUGAUCGAAGCCCCGGUAAACGGCGGCCGUAACUAUAACGGUCCUAAGGUAGCGAAAUUCCUUGUCGGGUAAGUUCCGACCUGCACGAAUGGCGUAAUGAUGGCCAGGCUGUCUCCACCCGAGACUCAGUGAAAUUGAACUCGCUGUGAAGAUGCAGUGUACCCGCGGCAAGACGGAAAGACCCCGUGAACCUUUACUAUAGCUUGACACUGAACAUUGAGCCUUGAUGUGUAGGAUAGGUGGGAGGCUUUGAAGUGUGGACGCCAGUCUGCAUGGAGCCGACCUUGAAAUACCACCCUUUAAUGUUUGAUGUUCUAACGUGGACCCGUAAUCCGGGUUGCGGACAGUGUCUGGUGGGUAGUUUGACUGGGGCGGUCUCCUCCUAAAGAGUAACGGAGGAGCACGAAGGUUGGCUAAUCCUGGUCGGACAUCAGGAGGUUAGUGCAAUGGCAUAAGCCAGCUUGACUGCGAGCGUGACGGCGCGAGCAGGUGCGAAAGCAGGUCAUAGUGAUCCGGUGGUUCUGAAUGGAAGGGCCAUCGCUCAACGGAUAAAAGGUACUCCGGGGAUAACAGGCUGAUACCGCCCAAGAGUUCAUAUCGACGGCGGUGUUUGGCACCUCGAUGUCGGCUCAUCACAUCCUGGGGCUGAAGUAGGUCCCAAGGGUAUGGCUGUUCGCCAUUUAAAGUGGUACGCGAGCUGGGUUUAGAACGUCGUGAGACAGUUCGGUCCCUAUCUGCCGUGGGCGCUGGAGAACUGAGGGGGGCUGCUCCUAGUACGAGAGGACCGGAGUGGACGCAUCACUGGUGUUCGGGUUGUCAUGCCAAUGGCACUGCCCGGUAGCUAAAUGCGGAAGAGAUAAGUGCUGAAAGCAUCUAAGCACGAAACUUGCCCCGAGAUGAGUUCUCCCUGAGACUUUAAGUCUCCUGAAGGAACGUUGAAGACGACGACGUUGAUAGGCCGGGUGUGUAAGCGCAGCGAUGCGUUGAGCUAACCGGUACUAAUGAACCGUGAGGCUUAACCUUACAAC